GUCACGCUAAGAGAAAGGGGCUGGAUACAGAGACAACCAUCCAGGGAAGACAGCCAUGUAAAGGUAGAGGCAGGAUUGGAUUUAUUUGUCAACAAAGCCCAGGAUACCAAGAGCUCUCAGGUCACACAGAGCUGGGGAGAGGCAAGGAAACAUUCAACACAGCCUCUGGAGAACAUGUGGCCCUGUUGGCUCUUCCAUUGGGGAUUUUAUCCCUCAGAACUCCACAGGUCCCUGGAGCGUUGGAACCUUGGAAAGUGAAGAGCCAAUACAAGGACCAAGUUGGAAGUCGAGGCAACCAGAAGUCACAACACAGGCUUGAGGCAUGCCUGCACCAUCCAGCAGCGACGCAUGUGAGCAGAGCUCCUCAGAGCCCUGGUCACUCACAAGAAAUAGAAAUCUACGUGAAAGAACUGCCACACAUUUUGGCCCAAAUCACCAUUUCUCGUGCUGAGAUUAAAGGCGUGCACUUCCACUGCCUGGUUACUGUGGGUCCCUUGAGAUCUCAACACACUAGCAUAAUUUCCAUGAGACUUUCCUGGACCCAGUCAGUGUCCAUGAAAAGAAAGUAGAGGAGAGUGAUUGCAGACGCCCCAGGAGAGGUCUUCUUGGAGGAUGACGAAGUAUCUAUGGAUGUCACUCAGCACACAUUAGUUGUACUAGUUCAUUUCCGAAUCCCAGGAGUAAGAGUAAAGCUACAGUAAUUUGUACCUACCAUGUCUCCCGGAGGGACUGGACCACCCAUGAUCUCAGGGAGAGCAAGUCUGGGUUGUUGGAUUCAUCAUUAUUGUGCCUCCACCUAAAUCUGCCUGUGACGGAACAUAUCACAGAUUGGACACAUCAUCUCUAGGCUGUCCGGUGAAGUUUUGAUCCAGCAAGAAUUUGAAACUGUUGAAAAGGAAGACGAAGCUGAUGCAAGCAGGGAAAGAAAAUGAAAGAGCAUCAUGGGAGAAUCUAGAUAGGCUAGCAAAGCAGUCAGGGAAGAUCAUAAGCAAUUCAAGAUACGAGGGGGCGGAAACUAAGGGGACGCCAAAGAUGGUUCCAAGGCACUCAGUUGCCCAAGAUGGGCCUCUCAACCCAACCAGCCCACAAAGAAGUCCUGCAUUUUUCACACUCCUUAAAUCCGGAUGGGUGUCAUGAGCUGUUGAAUAUGAUGUGUAUGACUGUGUGGCCUUCAAGGAUAGGGCAUACAAAGCUUUGACACAUUUGAAAGGGCCCAUUGGAAUGUUCUCAGAUCUCUUCAGCCAUCAAGGUCUACACACAGCUACUCAAGACAACAGCCUCACCUGAACUCCCAGCCUGCGGCCAAUGCUAGCCACCGGAGCUCGCUGUCUUGGAGUCGGUCUCACCCAGCUUCUAUUCAACUGCAGCUACCUAAAACAGCUCUGGGAGACAAUCUAGUUAAGCUACAGAACCACUGGAGUGAGCAAUAGUGAUUAUUUGGGGCCACUACAUUUCUGAGUAGUUUAUUGUGCAAUAACAGAUAGCAAGAGCAUGUCCAUGUGUAGGGAGAGAUUGCUGGGCCCUGGCCCCCCAUUUUGGGUAGCUGCCGCCUUGCUUGCUGACCUUGACCAGAUGUCCUCCCUAUGGUGAUUCCCUGCCGGUUUCCUUCUUCUGAAAGCUCACGGGAGGUUCUUAGUUCGUGUAUCCUGCAUUUGGUGUAAACAGCUUAGAUGCAAGAAUGUAGAACUUUGGGUAGCACACUUCUGCCCUCCCUCCGGGGAUCCUCCAUUGUGCUGUAAGCCUGUAUUUAAGGUUUCCUCCCUCCUUCAAUAAACAACAUUCAGCAUUCUGCUGGGACGAAUGA